ensembl:lncRNA
AAGUGCUGCAGUGGUGAGUGUGUCAACAGGGCUGGCAACUGUGUUCCGGGGUCCUCCCUGAGGCGGAGUCAGGCAAUCUCCCGCACCUGGGACUAAUCAGCUGCAAUGUGGAGGCUGCAUUUAAACCCGGCCUGGGCAACUCUCCUUCACCAGUCCGUCAGCUACUCAUGCUAGCUUCAAUACUCACUCUGUUGGAAGCCUCCAGCUGGGAAACCUCAUCAUUUGCAACCGAUCCUGCUCAGUCCUUCACUCUCUCUGCCUGCCGUCUGCUUCAAGGUACUGGACUCACAGAUCGGACUUCUUUCCCUGUCACAAAACCACUCACUCGGAUCAGCACUCCUCCCCAAAACUGAACCGUCUCUUUGUACGAAGAGAGACUGUGUGCUCCCCGCCCUGGAAAAACCUGUCCUUUGUGCUUUCCCCACGUCCCCAGUGUUUCCGGAGAAACUUCCUGAUGCCCUGCACAUUCCCCUUUGAACAUAGAUUCUUGUAAAUAGUUGUCACCAGAUUAGGUUGAGGGGUUUAGGUGUUGUUAUUCACUGCCAUCAAUAAAUAAAUCACUUGUGUAAUCAUUGCUGAGUUCACUCUGUCUGCU